UCUUUGGAUGCACACUACUCAUUGCUUUUGGGUCUUUUUAAGGGAACACACGCUCCUUAUGUGGUCUAAGGAAGAAUCUCUAUUAAAGGGAAUAAACUUAAAUAAAACAGAAAAUGGGAUGUCAAGUGGAAGGAGUGGAAAGGUUUGGCCAUGACAAAAUGGAGAGAAACAGCACAGGUUUGGGCCCUUUAUGCACAGGAUGGCUGGUGAGAGAUGUUCUUAAGUGACGUGGGUAUGUUGGUUUAGAACGUUUGCUCUUGAGUUCUAACUCUGGUGGAAUCUUCCUCAGAAGAAGCCAUUGGAGAUAUGCCCAUGACUGUGAUCCACUGAAUCCCUCUCCUGUGUUGAGUUAAAGAUAUCCAGUCCCCCUUCUUCCUCAUCCCACCAGCGAGAAGAAACUGGAGAUGCAAAAAGCUGCUCAAGACCAUAGACUUUUGGAGGCUGUCUUUCCUAAGGUCCCAUUACCAUGAGGUGUCAGUCAGCAGCCUCUCCCAUCUCCAAAGGGACACCAGCCUCACUGCUGCCUGAAGCCAGAAACAUCCAUGACUUCUUCAACAAGCCAAAGACUUGCCUUGCAGGGCUUCAACAGGGCUCUGGGGUGCAAGGAUGAUCAGACCUCAGAACCAGCUCCCAAGGUUCCAGUGGUCUCCUCGGCCAUUCCAUGUGACCUCCCAAAAAAGUCAGAAGCUUUCUGGACCAAUGACCAAUCCUAACCCUGGUGGUAGCAGCAGAGUUCACCCCCAAACAGGGCACAACUCUAAGCAAAAAACCCAACCUACUUCCAACAGGUCCCUGCUGAGGGCCAGCACGCUUUAUACCAAUGUCCAGAUGGAGAAAGAAUUCCAUGUUAUCAGGUAUCCCUGCUGACAGUGGAGUGUGGAAUUGGCUCAGCGGCUCAACCUCAAGGUCUGGUUCCAGAUCUGAAGGAUGAAGGACAACAGGAGGGAGGGAGCUGGGAGCCUGUCCCCUAGCAGAAGCCCCCAGUGAGCUCCCAAAUGGAGGGUGGGUAGGAUGUGCCCAGGAGCAAGUCCUACAGCAAGGCCCAAGGAGAUGUGUGGGUUGGCAGCCUGUCUCUGACAGCCCUUGUGCAGCUGCCCUGGAAGUUGGAUCCUCCUCUGUCUCUGCAAGGGAAGUGUCAUUACCGAUCCCCCUAAUCUGCAAAGGAGACGGAGUGAGAAAAUUACCUGGAAAACGUGCCUGGGGCCAGCUCACUCUUCAGCCACAGCUUCUCUAUAAACUUGGACCACAGCUGUGCUGCUCAAAUUCCCAGUCAGCGCUACCUUGGGAACCUGCAACUCCCAUCUCACCUAAAAAGACUUAAACACCACAUACUGCAUCUUGGGGAAGUCCUCCGGAACCUGCAGUUCUUGUGCAUCUGUGAGGGCUCUCUGCCAUGGAAACUAAGCUACAGUCCUAUUAUGUCAUUAAAAAACAAAACAGAAAAAACUUCUAAGUGUAACCAACAGUAUCCUCUGAUUUCCUCACCCCCUCUAUUCCCAAUUACCUCCUGCGUAUUAAACUGUACAGAGAUCUGUGUACAAGGCAGCUAGGAACUGGUGUGUGCAGUAACCCAGCCAAUAACAGGACAAGUUCUGUGUGAGCUUAUAACACGCUCCAUGUAUUUUAUUAAAGUUGAUUUUACUCAGCUGUUUACUUUGUCAGUUACAAAGGUGUCAACAGCCACCCUUUAAAUAUCCUUACAACCCAAUUAAACUUCCUCCAAGCCUAGGGCAACAUUUUUUGAAAAGCAACUAGUGAUUUUAUCGACCUCACUUUCUGGGGGGCGUAUCUUAAAAGGCGUCUGAUUUUCAGAAAGGGUUGAGUUCUUCUCCUCUGUAAAUUAGGCCCCUUUAAGGUGCUUCAAAUUAGGCACCCAGAGGUUUACUCAUGAGGGUGGUUUUUCCUUUAACCCCGCACAUUCCCCCUACCAGGAAAUAACAUAGCUGUGGCACUUCUACUGGCCACUAUCGUUAUCAUUUCAGCGGGUUAUUGUUUGAUAAGCAAAUGUAGAUGUAAACAUAUUUGAACCCACUCAAAAUCUGACCCUGCAAUAAGUUAGCUUCUCACUGUAAUUUACACAUUUUUUUUUCUUUUUAAAAGAGAUUGAUUGGCUCUUGGCGUAUUUUACUGUAUUGUUGUGGUUUUCAAAAUAAAGAGGCCUUUUAAAAACAG